CGGGUGUUUUGUUUAAAGAUAUUUACGAUAUUAAGGAUAUUGAUCUAGAAGGCAAAACAUUUAAUAGAGAAGUCGAGUUUUUCCUGGAAGAUUACAUUUACGACCAGAUCCGGGUCACCCCAUUUGUUUUUCCAGGAAAGGUGUCUGUGGGUGCGUGGAUGAUGCUGAAGCAUUGGGCUCCUUUAUUGACUUGUAACACAACUGUACUACUGUGACAACUUGUGACAACAGCAUCAGUGGGAGAACCACCAUCAAGCUGUGAUCUUCUUGUAUUUUUGUGGAAUUUUCCAUCAGUGAAAGACCAUCCAUUGUUGUGGCAUCUGAGUGUACUGCAGACACACCAUUUGCUGAAUUCCAUACAAGUGCUUGGAAAUUUGAGUACUAAAUAUGAAGUGUCACUGCAUCGAAAGUAGGGGAGCCUCUUAUGAUUUAGGCUUGCAAAAAGGCACAACACGGACUUCAUCAUGUGCAUUCACAUUUAAUAUACUAUAAAUCUUACAGAUAAACAUUCCAACUCGCAUUACACUCUCAGCUCCCCAACGCAAGAUUGUUAAUACCUUCUAGGCUGAUUUCCUAUUUAUUCCUAUGUGUGAAACACCGUGUUGCAUCAACUAACGGCAUGAAAAGCAGACAUUAACUUUUUUACCAAAGCGCUGGGCAAUUCCGUGAACACAGUAAUACUUUGUCUUUCUUAGAGCUCCAAGCCUUCAUCCACAGGUAAGAACAUAACAUCAUGCUACAGUAUGCUUCAGCAGUAUUAAAACAUUCGUGUCUCUUGAAACCACCAUAUCAAUCUUUACAUGAAUACAAUACAAGAUGAUGUUUGUAUCAGAUUCUUCUAUAUUAGACUCAUGAAUACAAUACAAGAUGAUGUGUGUACCAGAUUCUUCUAUAUUAGACUCAUGAAUACAAUACAAGAUGAUGUGUGUACCAGAUUCUUCUACAUUAGACUCAUGAAUACAAUACAAGAUGAUGUGUGUGUCAGAU